UACGAGUGCUUCAAGCGUUAUCCGGAAUCAUUGGGCGUAAAGGGUGUGUAGGCGGCUAUGUUAGUCUCGCGUAAAAUCUUUCGGCUCAACCGAGAGCUCGCGUGGGAAACGGCAUGGCUAAGAGGAUGGAAGGGGUCUGCGGAACUCAUGGUGUAGCGGUGAAAUGCGUUGAUAUCAUGGGGAACACCGAAAGCGAAGGCAGCAGACUGGUCCACUCCUGACGCUGAAACACGAAAGCGUGGGUCGCGAAUGGG
rnacentral:rRNA from 1 species